ensembl:lncRNA
UCGAGUUAAAGCACACGCACGGCAAACACAUAAAGGCAUUUUCAAUGGAACGCCGAAUUCAGGAGUCACCAUGGAAACUAAGGGUGAAAAGUUACAUGCCGCUCCUUCUCCAAAGCAGAGUUAGAAGUUUUAAUGUUGGCUUAUGAGGAGUUCAAGCCCAUUAUAAUGAAAAAACGCAAUACAGCUGCAUAUGCGAGGGAAAGACAACUGGCUUGGCAAAAGAUAACUGACAGAGUAAAUGCGUAAGUUUUUUUUAUUAGUAUUAUUAUUACAUUUUAAAUAUGCUUGCCUUUCUUUUGUUAAUUUGCAAAGUUGAACAAUUGUCUUUUUGAGCAUGUGGCAUGACUCGACAAGCAUUUACUUUUCUCUACAUCAGUUUCUUAAGAAUACAAUGUAUAUUGACAAGAAAUAUUUAGGCCUCUUGUUUUAUAAGGUGUAAUCCUUCUGGAGCCAAAAGAACUCUUUCCCAAGUCAAAAUGAAACACAAAAACAUUCUCCAAAAGGUAAUAUUUUAUUUUAACUGUUGUAAGAUCAAUGUCUUAAGUUACUUUUACAGUAUUCUUCCUAUAUAGCUAAUAGAAAGAAGGCUGAGGCCCAUCUAACUGCCAGGGGUCCACCUCCUCUCACCCCAUCUGAGGAGUUGGCUCUAUCACUUAAUAAAGGUCGCCCUGUGGUCGAUAAUAUUCCAGAGGGCACUUUGUCAGACUUUGCUACCUCCCACAACAACUCAAGUGACUUGGUACAAUUUGCUGAUGGACGCAUUGUAUUAUUGGAUCCUCCUGAAACCACACAGUCUGUCACAAUUGAUGAUGGUGAUGAUGAUGAUGAAGAGACCACAUCUGCUGUGACUGAAUUAGAAAGUGCUGGGAGACCCACAGAGAUGUCUGCAAAGGAGCUGUAUAAGGUCCAUCUAUUAAGGCAUGAACAUUAAUCUUUUUUUUUUUUUUUGUUUAAAGAAAU